UACGUAGGGUGCGAGCGUUGUCCGGAAUUAUUGGGCGUAAAGAGCUCGUAGGCGGUUUGUCGCGUCGACUGUGAAAACCUACAGCUUAACUGUGGGCUUGCAGUCGAUACGGGCAGACUUGAGUUCGGUAGGGGAGACUGGAAUUCCUGGUGUAGCGGUGAAAUGCGCAGAUAUCAGGAGGAACACCCAUGGCGAAGGCAGCAAGCUGGGCGACACCUGACGCUGAGGCGCGAAAGCGUGGGUAGCAAACAGG
rnacentral:rRNA from 1 species